rnacentral:sRNA from 1 species
AGGAUUAACCUUAAGAUCUUUAGUCCCUAUUAAAACAUUGGCCCUAUUAAUAACAAGGAAGAUUUGCAAAAGUACCAUUUUUCUAAUCACCUUUUGCAACAUUACCCUUUCUUCAUGACCAUUUUUUAAACUGCUCCUUCUAGUGCGGAAAAUGACAAUCUUGUCCUUAAUGAAAGAUUAGGAUUUCACUUCAUUUCUCUUCUGUUCGACAAACUGUUCCUCUUCGCUGAACUUUAUCUCCGACGACGAAUUGUAUUUCAGAUCUAUCGCCAGAUCCGAUGACGACGACGAACAAUCGCCAGAUCCGACAAAGAUCUGACAAAAAAAGUUUCAUGCAAUUUGGAGAUCGCCAAAUCCGACGAAGAUCCGACGAAGAAAUCACCAGAUCCGGCAAAGGAAUCUACGGUAAUAUGAUUCUCGAUUUCAUAGUGGAUCUGAUAAUAGUUUAGAUCUAAAUUUCAGUUCUAAUUUGAUUUAUUUUGUACAUGUUUCGCAGAUGGAUUCAGAGAGUGAAAUCCUCACCUUACCUGAACAGAUCUAUAAAGAAGGUGACGAAUCGAUUUCAAUGGGUUAGGCGAGAGUCUGUUUGAGAAGAUUAUAAGUUAUUUUCUUGGUCCUUUAGUUGAUUUGGGACCAAGAAUUAAGGCAAAAAGGGGGACCAAGAAUGAAAGCAAUUAAAAAAUUAUUUUUUGGUGGUAUUUCUGUCAAUUGCCCUUAAUUUUAUAUCUUAACGAUGGUUAGAUCACAAAAAAAU